GGGGAAACAGACCGUCUAUAUUGUCCUUUUUGUUAGUUUUAGAUUGCGUUUUAUUAUUUGUUGUGUGUUUGGGACGAUAUAUUUUUGGUUGUGUUUUUCGUGUUUUAACUUUGAUAGACUGACAGACACCGUAAAGAGGAAGGCCUAGGACGAGAUGGACGGACGACAUCAAAAAGUUCGACAAAGAAUGGAUCGAAUCACAGGAUCAAGAGAGGGGUAACCGCGAUUAGCGCGCUUAUUGCUGUAUGUUGUGUUGGAUUGGCAUUUGUUUAUUGACGUAAACACGUUAUGCGGCUUAUUUAUCAGGGAAAUUGUUUCGAUCAAUUUCUAAAACGUAACCAUUACGUUUAAACGUGUGUUGUUUGUAUUUGAUUAAUAUUCAAUUUUAUAAAAUUUACUCAUUUCCAUAAAUUCACGGUUACACACAACUUGGAAUGGUGGCUCACAUGGUGGCACAAUUUUUAAUUUCUAAAUUAACACGGGAGCGAUACCUUGGACGCAACUAGGAAUAAAUAGAUGGCACAGUCAACAGUACAUGAUCUUACCCAAAUUCAUUGCAAACUCGUCGCUAUUACCGCGCCACAGAGGUUCAUGCAGGGUAACCUGAUGUGCUGUUGACCGUAUAAUGAAUUAACAACGAAUAUUCCUCUUCAACUGUAUUCCUCAUUAUUGCACUUCUUUAAAACGUUACAAAUAUAUGCCAAAAUAGGCAAAUACAAGUAGAUACACAGAAACAUUUAUAUUCUAACACCUAGCUUAGAUUUGCGGUUAGCGUAUGCACGGUGACUGGGCAUCCGUCAGCCGAUAUCUAUCCGGCGAAAAUCAGAAAUAACCGGUGCAGAAGCCGGUCGGAACUAGUUUGCGCUAGACAUAUCCGGUUAGUGGACACGCGGCCCGACGUGUCGUGCGGUUUGUGCUCGAAACGCUGAAGCGAAAGGUUUCUGGCUCUGGUUAGAAAUUAAACAGAUAUCUUUACUUAGGAAAUUCAUAAAUGGAAAACUACAAAAAAAAAUAUCAUAAUCAUUAACACUGAGCUAAUAUGAUAGUGGCGCUAGUGUGCGCUUCAUACACUCUUAAGAUAACCUUAAAACUUAAAAUUAAAGAAAACUUUAAAACAAAGGACCCUAUAGUUGUCAAAUUGUUUUUAUUAUCUUCUGGAUUUGAUGGUCAGGGAUACGUUCAUACUGAGAAAUGAAUUUAGAUUUCUUACGCUAUGAAAUUGGAAGAUUUAUAUGAAAAAUGUAAUAUUUGUAGUCGUUACGGAUUAUAAGCCAAGCGACAUUAUGACAAAUAUAUAAGAUUUGUUUGUGUUUCUUACAUGC